rnacentral:rRNA from 1 species
GAUGAACGCUGGCGGCGUGCCUAAUACAUGCCAGUCGAGCGAACGGACGAGAAGCUUGCUUUUCUGAUGUUAGCGGCGGACGGGUGAGUAACACGUGGAUAACCUACCUAUAAGACUGGGAUAACUUCGGGAAACCGGAGCUAAUACCGGAUAAUAUUUUGAACCGCAUGGUUCAAAAGUGAAAGACGGUCUUGCUGUCACUUAUAGAUGGAUCCGCGCUGCAUUAGCUAGUUGGUAAGGUAACGGCUUACCAAGGCAACGAUGCAUAGCCGACCUGAGAGGGUGAGCGGCCACACUGGAACUGAGACACGGUCCAGAAUCCUACGGGAGGCAGCAGUAGGGAAUGUUGCGCAAUGGGCGAAAGCCUGACGGAGCAACGCAGCGUGAGUGAUGAAGGUCUUCGGAUCGUAAACCUCUGUUAUUAGGGAAGAACAUAUGUGUAAGUAACUGUGCACAUCUUGACGGUACCUAAUCAGAAAGCCACGGCUAACUACGUG